AAAAAAAAUUCCUCAUGGAAAGGGUUUCCAAGCAUUUAAACAGUCCGCGCGCCGUCCCUGGUGGUGCUUAAAAUAGAUUUAAAAGCCCCGUGGCUGCGGCACGUUGCGAACAGGGCUCAGCGGUGUUAGGUUCGCAGCCGGACUCAGAAGUCGCCCCCACCCCAAAUGAUGCUCCGAUGUCUCUUUGCAGUUGUAAGCAGGUGGUUUUCGCCUUAAAACCCUGGUUUUCACGUGAUUUCACGAUUCUGGUGUUAAGGAAACUUCCCUGCCCGACCGUCCAGGAGCCGCUCUGGCGGUGACACUGUGGCACGACCUUCGGUCCCCCUGCAGCUGCACCCGGAGCUGCCUGCACUGAAUAUGUUCCUCGGCUCCAGCACCAGAGAGUUCAGAGAGACACUGUCGCUGAACUCCAGGCGCUCCCAGCGCGGAACAUCAAGGCGGGAGGUGAGGACAAGGCUGUGCCCACCAGCAGCUUUGGGAAAGAUGGACCAGCCAGUGGAGAGUCAAUGCAUUUUUUCCACUAUGACAAGAAUACCAAAGAUAAAAAGGAGCCAGUGCCCCGCCUUGGCUGCUUGCAACCCCUCUCCAGUGCGGACAGAGCGCGGGCCCCGGGGCGAAACCAAACUGUCACUGUGUGAGGUAUUGUGAAAAUGGGAACCAUUUGUUUUGUCCAGCAAACCUGAGGUAAAUAUACCAUCUUUGCAGGAUGUGAUAAGGAAGGAAAAGGGAAAAG